rnacentral:rRNA from 1 species
UACGGAGGAUCCGAGCGUUAUCCGGAUUUAUUGGGUUUAAAGGGUGCGUAGGUGGAUUGGUAAGUCAGUGGUGAAAGUUUGCAGCUUAACUGUAAAAUUGCCGUUGAAACUGCCGGUCUUUAGUGCAAAUGAGGUAGGCGGAAUGCGUCGUGUAGCGGUGAAAUGCUUAGAUAUGACGCAGAACUCCGAUUGCGAAGGCAGCUUACUGGGAUGCAACUGACGCUGAGGCACGAAAGCGUGGGUAUCAAACAGGAUUAGAUACCCCU